AUCUGGAGUCUGUUACAUAUCUAUCCCACCACUUGGGAGACUGAAACAGGAAGAUUGCUAGGACUUCAUGGCCAGCCUGCCCUAAAUAAUGAAACAUCUUGACUGACAACUGAUAGAUAAUUGAGGAUGGAUGGAUGGAUGGAUGGAUGGAUGGAUGGAUGGAUGGAUGAUCUAGCACAGCUCCCAAACCUUGUCCAGGAGCCACAAGUUCCAACUUGAGUCCCGUUGUUGACUGAAGCACCAGGAAAUGCUGAACCAAUCAAAUGCAGUUAUCCAGCUUUGUUGCUGUAUCCUCUAGCCCCUAGUGUGUUGAAGUCAGUUUUGUGGAAUUGGAAGGUCUCUGUCAGCCACAGUGAAUGAGAUGAACCCUGCAGAAAUCUCUACUUCACAUCCUGACCUUUACACAAGCACAUGAGGACACAGAAGAGAAGGCCCUUACCAGAACCCAACCAAGCUGACCUUUGACCCUGUCGAGCUGAGUAAUGAAUUUCUGUCACCUACGGGAUACCUAUUUAUGGUAGUCAGCUCUCUGUCACUGUAAUGGAUGAUGAAGAUGAUACAGCUUAUGGAGUG
rnacentral:lncRNA from 1 species